rnacentral:lncRNA from 1 species
AGUACUAUGAGCCUGCUUCGUUAGAAAAAAUGGUCUGGUAUGAACUCUGUUUCUUUUAUUUUCAGCCUGUUGAGUGAUCUUUUAUAUGAGAUACAACUAUCUAAGCUACUAAAUGUUACAUCCCAUUUGCAAGAAAAUUGUGACUGCUUCUGGUCCCUCUGUGAAUAAUUGAGGAUACAUAUUCAAAAUGAAAAAGGCUACAGAGAAUAUGACAAAUUCAAGGCUCAAGAAAAUACAUUGCUGCCUUUAAUUCUUUAAUUUGGAAUUGUACUGGUACUGCGAUGGAUCUAUCAAUCAUCAUUCCAUGUCAAUAAGUUAGUAAAGACUGUGAAAGUGUAUAACAAUAUGUUGCUUCACUUUUGCAGAUACAAUUCAACUAUAUCUGCAAAUGCAAUGUCAAACCUUCUAUUUUGCUGCUAAAAGGUUUUUCAAUCUGCAAGGAAAGAGGCAAAGCACUAACUGAAAAUUGAGUUUGUCUCAACAGGUGAUCUCAUAUUAAGCUUACAUUAAUAAGUUUCAUCUUAGUCUUUUGACCUCUAUUUGGAUUAGUUCAUUAUUAUGCUUUUUCGAAGUUCGAAUUGAAUUAGAAUAGAU